GCCUUCGUGGUGUAAUGGUUAGUACAGUCGGUGAGUAUUUUAGAAGUCCAGGUUCGAGUCCCGGCGAGGGCA
rnacentral:tRNA from 1 species